UCCUACGGGAGGCAGCAGUGAGGAAUAUUGGUCAAUGGACGGAAGUCUGAACCANCCAAGUAGCGUGAAGGAUGACUGCCCUCUGGGUUGUAAACUUCUUUUAUACGGGAAUAACAUGAGGUACGCGUACCUUAUUGCAUGUACCGUUAUGAAUAAGCAUCGGCUAACUCCGUGCCAGCAGCCGCGGUAAUACGGAGGAUGCGAGCGUUAUCCGGAUUUAUUGGGUUUAAAGGGAGCGUAGGUGGGAUAUUAAGUCAGCUGUGAAAGUUUGGGGCUCAACCUUAAAAUUGCAGUUGAUACUGGUUUCCUUGAGUACGGUACAGGUGGGCGGAAUUCGUGGUGUAGCGGUGAAAUGCCUAGAUAUCACGAAGAACUCCGAUCGCGAAGGCAGCUCACCGGGCCGGAACUGACACUGAUGCUCGAAAGUGCGGGUAUCAAACAGGAUUAGAUACCCUGGUAGUCC
rnacentral:rRNA from 1 species